rnacentral:rRNA from 1 species
GUCUACGGCCAUACCACCCUGAACACGCCCAAUCUUGUCUGAUCUCGGAAGAAAUUAAGAGUAAGGAAGUCAGGCUGUAGCAC